rnacentral:rRNA from 1 species
AUGAACACCUCUAGACGGACACCCCGCACCAAUGAAUUGAUAAAACAACAGUUUUGCUGCAACAAGUUCAAGAAGCCCAAAGCUGAUGAUGGAGGAGCUGAGGCUCCUCCUAUCCUGGACCCUAUUCCAGAUCCAAAAUCUGUUGACAGUGAUGAGGAGAUGGAAGAAGAACCUCCAAUAUUUGCUGAAGAGGAGGCUGGUACUAGUAAGAAGAAGAAGAAGCGCAAACGCGAGACAAUAAAGCAGACUCAGUGCAAGGCGAAAAUGUUGGUGAAGCUGAUAGAUGGGCGAUGGGAGGUGACGCACUUUGUUCGUGACCACAAUCAUCCGCUCGUGAACAAACCUUCAUUGUCCAAAUACUUGAGAUCCCACCAAGGCAUCUCACCUGAUGAAAAGGAGUUUCUGCGCAUCUUGCAUAACUGCAACUUGACUACAGUCUUUCAUGCUAGGUUGCGCAUUUGUGAGGCAGGAGUUGGCAUCGAGCUUUGA